AUACGUAGGUGGCAAGCGUUGUCCGGAUUUACUGGGCGUAAAGCGCGCGCAGGCGGAUGGUUAAGUAGGAAGUGAAAGGUUGGAGCUCAACUCCAACAUUGCUCCCUAUACUGGCCGUCUUGAGUCCCGGAGAGGAAAGCGGAACGACACGUGGAGCGGUGAAAUGCGUUGAUAUGUGUCGGAACACCAAUGGCGAAGGCAGCUUUCUGGACGGGUACUGACGCUCAGGCGCGAAAGCCGAGGUAGCGAACAGGAUUAGAUACCCUGGUAGUCUCGGCCCUAAACGAUGAUCACUAGGUGUCGGGGGGUUUCCCUCGGUGCCGCAGCUAACGCAUUAAGUGAUCCGCCUGGGGACUACGGCCGCAAGGUUGAA
rnacentral:rRNA from 1 species